rnacentral:rRNA from 1 species
GACGAACGCUGGCGGCGUGCUUAACACAUGCAAGUCGAACGGAGUGGCGAACGGGUGAGUAAAACGGGGGUGACAUGCUCGGCACUUCGGGAGAAGCCGGGGAAAAUGGGUCGAAUACCGGAUAGUUUGGGAUGGGCCCGAGGCCUAUCAGCUUGUUGGUGGGGUAAUGGCCUACCAAGGCGGAGGCGGGUAGCCGGCAUGAGAGGGUGGACGGCCACAUUGUGACUGAGACACGGCCCAGACUCCUACGGGAGGCAGCUGUAGGGAAUAUUGCACAAUGGGCGGAAUCCUGAUGCAGCGACGCUGCGUGGGGGAUGACGGCCUUCGGGUUGUAAACUCCUUUCGCCAUCGCCGCGGUAGAUGGCGAAGAAGCACCGGCUAACUACGUGCCAGCAGCCGCGGUAAUUC